rnacentral:rRNA from 1 species
CCUACGGGAGGCAGCAGUGGGGAAUAUUGCGCAAUGGGCGAAAGCCUGACGCAGCGACGCCGCGUGAGGGAUGAAGGUCUUCGGAUCGUAAACCUCUGUCAGCAGGGAAGAACGGUCACUGUGCUAAUCAGCAGUGAAUUGACGGUACCUGCAAAGGAAGCACCGGCUAACUCCGUGCCAGCAGCCGCGGUAAUACGGAGGGUGCGAGCGUUAAUCGGAAUUACUGGGCGUAAAGCGCUCGUAGGCGGUAUGUCAAGUCAAGGGUGAAAUCCCCGCGCUCAACGUGGGAACUGCCUUUGAAGCGGGCAAAUGGGAUUGUGGGGGAGGAGAGGGAAAUUGCAGGGUGAGGAGUGAAUGCGGGAAAUAUCUGGAGGAACAUCAGUGGCGAAGGGGAUUAUCUGGCACAUACCUGACGCUGGGGGGCGAAAGCGUGGGUAGCAAACAGAAUUAGAUACCGGAGUAGUC